UACGUAGGGGGCGAGCGUUGUCCGGAUUUAUUGGGCGUAAAAGGCUUGUAGGUGGCCACGUCAAGUCGGAUGUGAAAUCUCCCGGCUCAACUGGGAGGGGUCAUUCGAUACUGGCGGGCUCGAGGCCGGUAGGGGGAAGCGGAAUUCCCGGUGUAGUGGUGGAAUGCGUAGAUAUCGGGAGGAACACCAGUGGCGAAAGCGGCUCACUGGACCACAACUGACGCUGAGGCGCGAAAGCUAGGGGAGCAAACAGG
rnacentral:rRNA from 1 species